GAUGAACGCUGGCGGCGUGCCUAACACAUGCAAGUCGAGCGAUCUUCUUCGGAAGAGAGCGGCGGACGGUUGAGUAACGCGUGGGUAACCUGCCCUGUACACACGGAUAACAUACCGAAAGGUAUGCUAAUACGAGAUAAUAUGCUUUUAUCGCAUGGUAGAAUUAUCAAAGCACCGGCGGUACAGGAUGGACCCGCGUCUGAUUAGCUAGUUGGUAAGGUAACGGCUUACCAAGGCGACGAUCAGUAGCCGACCUGAGAGGGUGAUCGGCCACAUUGGAACUGAGACACGGUCCAAACUCCUACGGGAGGCAGCAGUGGGGAAUAUUGCACAAUGGGCGAAAGCCUGAUGCAGCAACGCCGCGUGAGCGAUGAAGGCCUUCGGGUCGUAAAGCCCUGUCCUCAAGGAAGAUAAUGACGGUACUUGAGGAGGAAGCCCCGGCUAACUACGUGCCAGCAGCCGCCGCCGUAA
rnacentral:rRNA from 1 species